AAGUCGUAACAAGGUUUCCGUAGGUGAACCUGCGGAAGGAUCAUUAACACGUAUCCAACGUUAAACAACCCCGUGAACUUUCAGCCUGCUCUUGCAUGCCAUGAUGAAACAGCAAUCCCGGUAAAUCAUCGCCAAAACAGUUUUGAUUCGGGACCUCUGUCAAGUGGGGUGCAAUUGAUGCGGUAGAAGCAGUGAAUAACAGCGUCACUGGCUAUGUAAGGAUAACGCCUCACGGUUGCUAGAGGUCGAUCACCGGCCGGCAGACAUGUCACAGGGUCACCACGCCCCUUAAUAACCCCACUUUCAAUGCCCCGCCUAGUGGUAACGCGCUAGGUAACUAAAACCGAACAACUGUUAACAAUGGAUAUCUUGGUUCUC
rnacentral:misc_RNA from 1 species